rnacentral:rRNA from 1 species
UACGGGGGAUGCGAGCGUUAUCCGGAUUUAUUGGGUUUAAAGGGUGCGUAGGUUGUUUUUUAAGUCAGCGGUGAAAGUCUGUGGCUCAACCAUAGAAUUGCCGUUGAAACUGGGGGGCUUGAGUAUGUUUGAGGUAGGCGGAAUGCGUGGUGUAGCGGUGAAAUGCAUAGAUAUCACGCAGAACUCCGAUUGCGAAGGCAGCUUACUAAGCCAUAACUGACACUGAAGCACGAAAGCGUGGGGAUCAAACAGG